UAUAAAUAGCCUGCAACAACUAGGUAUAAGGAAAUGCCUUCUUGUUCUUCCCUGCUUCUGUGCAGGUUCCUGUCUGGCUUCAAGGUCGCCAUAGACGAGGUGGUGGAGCUUGAGACUCUGCACAUGCAUAGCCUAUUAAGGACAUUGCUAGCUGCUGUUUUGCCGACAAGGAACGUGGAUAGCGGGGCGCCAGUUCUAUUAAUCCGCCGGUAACAGGCUACGUGGAGCGUUUGUGUUCUUAAACUGUGUUGUAUCCGCCUUUUCCCUGGGAUUCCAUAUGUAUUUCUAGUUAAUACUCGUACUAUUGACAAACAAACUGUUGAUCGAGUUGGGGCUUUGGGGCGGCUUAGUGUUCACGUUGCAGUGCGUGGUUUGGAAUCUGGUUUGGCGUGGAGGUCGCUACGGCGCUGUCGGAAGUGGGGCCGUUCUUUCACUGCAUGCUUUUGUGUGUGUAGAAGUAGAAUAUUUUAUUCACCGUGUCCGUAUCACACCGAUUUACAGUGCGUGUGUGUGUCUGCUGGCACCUUCACGAGUGAGUGACCUUUCGGUUCCACUUCCGGUAAGUCCUCCCCCCUCCACGGACUCGUACCCAUAAACACCCAGUAGUGCCCCAGCGGCAGGGAAGACCUACUGGCUCAUUUUAUCAUUUUGGGGCUCCUGUGGGUUUUUG